rnacentral:rRNA from 1 species
UACGAAGGGGGCUAGCGUUGCUCGGAAUCACUGGGCGUAAAGCGCACGUAGGCGGCUUUGUAAGUUAGAGGUGAAAGCCCGGGGCUCAACUCCGGAAUUGCCUUUAAGACUGCAUCGCUUGAAUCCGGGAGAGGUGAGUGGAAUUCCGAGUGUAGAGGUGAAAUUCGUAGAUAUUCGGAAGAACACCAGUGGCGAAGGCGGCUCACUGGACCGGUAUUGACGCUGAGGAGCGAAAGCCAGGGGAGCAAACGGG